rnacentral:tRNA from 1 species
UAGCUCAAUCAGUAGAGCGUCCGCCUCACAACCGGGAGGUCGUGGGUUCGAACCCCGGC